GCAGCACCUGUGGAGAGAAUAAAGAGGCGGCGUCUCGGGUCAGGACUCUAAGUUGUAGCAGGAUUACUCUCUUUCGACCUAAAUACGUGUCAGACAGGUCUAUAUUUUAAGUUGACAUUUUAACUAUUUUGAAUUCGUCCAUAUUUCAUUAAACAUUUAUUACUAAUUUCCCUGAAAUAUUAUACCAGUCGUUCAAAACAACACAAUAUUCGAGCCGUUAAGGAGAUGUUCGAGCCAAUGUGGGUUUUAUUACAUGAACGACAUGCAAUCAAUAUGGUGCAGUAACUAUAUUUAUGAAGUUGAUUUUUUAAGGAAGCUAUGGACCUGGACCACAAUCCCUCUGCACAUCAAUGCCUUAAGGGUCUUGCCACAACUGUAGACCUUCUCCAUACAUUCAACCUGCCACAGUGCAACACCUCAUACUUGUUUGGAUCAAACUCCAUCUGCCAUUUCUUAAUCUGUUUCUGCAGUAGAUCUAUGUCCCGUUGUGCACUUUGAGAGCCUUUCUCACGGUCUGCAACUCCAGCAAUAUUGGUGUCAUCUGCAAACUUUCUAACUACAUUUAGAUGCGUCAUUAAUAUACAGCACAAACCGCAGAGGUCCCAGCACAGUUCCCUGCGGAACUCCACUGGUCACAGACCUCCAAACAGAAUAAUGUUCUUCCUCCACAACACUGUGUUCUAUGAGUAAGCCUGUCUUGUCAUUAAGGAUUUAAACGGAUUAUGAGGAACAACUUCUUCACACAUAAUAAGGAGCUACGGACUGUAACCAACUACUGGAGCAGCCCUCCCUCAACCGGAAAUGCCGGCACCUCUCUAGCUGAUGACCUGAACUCUUUCUACACUUGUUUCGAGACGUGCAACAUUACCCCAAAUCUGCCAACUAACGACAACACCGCCAGCGUGCUGGCUAGCGAGGCUGGAGGGAGGGCUGCGUUGAAGAUUAAUAUCCCCACUGCAGGGAGAAUAUA